rnacentral:rRNA from 1 species
ACGCUGGCGGCAGGCCUAACACAUGCAAGUCGAGCGGUAGAGAGAAGCUUGCUUCUCUUGAGAGCGGCGGACGGGUGAGUAAUGCCUAGGAAUCUGCCUGGUAGUGGGGGAUAACGUUCGGAAACGGACGCUAAUACCGCAUACGUCCUACGGGAGAAAGCAGGGGACCUUCGGGCCUUGCGCUAUCAGAUGAGCCUAGGUCGGAUUAGCUAGUUGGUGAGGUAAUGGCUCACCAAGGCGACGAUCCGUAACUGGUCUGAGAGGAUGAUCAGUCACACUGGAACUGAGACACGGUCCAGACUCCUACGGGAGGCAGCAGUGGGGAAUAUUGGACAAUGGGCGAAAGCCUGAUCCAGCCAUGCCGCGUGUGUGAAGAAGGUCUUCGGAUUGUAAAGCACUUUAAGUUGGGAGGAAGGGCAGUUACCUAAUACGUGAUUGUUUUGACGUUACCGACAGAAUAAGCACCGGCUAACUCUGUGCCAGCAGCCGCGGUAAUACAGAGGGUGCAAGCGUUAAUCGGAAUUACUGGGCGUAAAGCGCGCGUAGGUGGUUUGUUAAGUUGGAUGUGAAAUCCCCGGGCUCAACCUGGGAACUGCAUUCAAAACUGACUGACUAGAGUAUGGUAGAGGGUGGUGGAAUUUCCUGUGUAGCGGUGAAAUGCGUAGAUAUAGGAAGGAACACCAGUGGCGAAGGCGACCACCUGGACUGAUACUGACACUGAGGUGCGAAAGCGUGGGGAGCAAACAGGAUUAGAU